UAACACCAUCGCCACAAGUGGUAAACACAUUUAUUGGGCCUAAAGCGUUCGUAGCUGGUUUAUUAAAUUCUUUGUGAAAUCGUUGUGCUUAACAUAACGGCGUGCAAGGAACACUAAUGAACUAGGGACCGGGAGAAGUCAGAAGUAUUCUAGGGGGAGCGGUAAAAUGUUAUAAUCCCUAGAGGACUACCUGUGGCGAAGGCGUCUGACUAGAACGGAUCCGACAGUGAGGAACGAAAGCCAGGGGAGCGAACCGGAUUAGAUACCCGAGUAGUCCUGGCCGUAAACGCUGCGAGCAAGGUGUUGCAUAUCUCAUGAAGGUAUGCAGCGUCGAAACGAAGGUGUUAAGCUCGCCGCCUGGGAAGUACGGUCGCAAGACUG
rnacentral:rRNA from 1 species